ACACACCUAAGAGAGUCCCACAGUGUGUCUUAACAGCAGCUUAUGUACAAUUUUUAAAAUGUAUGUAACUAAGUGUGCGUAUGUGUGCAGGUUUCUGAGAUGGCCAGCAGAGGGCGUUGGACCCUUUGGAGCUGGAGCUGCAGGUCACUGCGAGCUGCCUGAUAAGGGACUUGUGAUUAAUUUACUUGUAUGUGUAUGAGUGUUUUGCUCAUGUGUGUGUGCACCAUGUGUGGGCCUUGUCCCCCCCAGUGUCCAGGAGACAUCAGAUGCUCCUGGACCUGUUGUUCGAAGGCUGUGGGGCCACCAUGCAGAUGCUAGGGGUUGCCCUAGGUAUCACAAAGUGCAAACCAAGUGUGCUCUUACCCACUAGACCAUCCCUCCAGUCCCAGAAGUGUGGUUUUUUUCUUUUUUUAAAGUGGUUUGAUAUCAAGCAGUAAGAAGGGUUUUAGGUUUAUGCAGUUAAAUCGUGGAAACAUUGUUAUCAAUCAGUGUUGAUCGUUUGUUCUAAUCAAUGACUUUCAGACAUAGAGAAUCAUUCCUGCUCUCUGUUGUCAUCUUCUCGGGACUCCCUAUAUUCUGUUUUAGCCCAAAGGGGCUUACUAAAAUUUUGAAUGCUCUGAAUUUUUUUUCCUAAAGCUUAAAAAAAAAAAAAAAGACAUUUUCAUCACUGUCUUAAUUUGUUUUCUGUGGAGUCAUUUGAGAAGACUCAAACUUGGGCCUUCUGGUAGAGCAGCCAGUACCUUUAAGCAUUGGUCUGUCUCUCCAGCACUCGGAGAAUUUUAAGAGAUUAUCAGAUGAUAGGAAGAUCAUGGAAAUGUUUCGAAGAGUAUUUGGAAAGUGGAAAAUUCAUGUCCUAUGCCAUACUUAACGUAUUCACAUUAUCUCAAAAACACGUCAUGUGGGACAUUGUCAGUUGGAAGUGGCUCCAGUUAUUUUGUCUGAUACUUAGGAAAGAAAACUAGAGUGCUACCCAGGGUGUAGAAUCUCACAGUCGUCCCUGCCUGACAAAGCUAGAGCAGGCUUUGUCAGAGUAAAUGAGAGCUAGGCCUUUCUCUAGGAGGGGAGAGAAAGGAAGGAGCCGGCCCUCAACCAGUUCCCACAGCAGCAGUCUUCAGAAGCCUUCAGGCAAAGGGAGUUUGCGUCAUCACGUGAAGCUGGUUGUCCCCUCCGAAGUGGCCCUUCACUCAGGCAAGAGCAGUUUAUUUCUGUUCCUGAGAACACUGUUGACGUCAGUGUGUGAUUCUCUGCCACAGUUGUUAAAAAGUAAGAAGCUGUCAAGGAUCAAUGUCAUGUUCACGUAACACUGGGCAGAAAUUAUUUCAAAAUUAGCUGUGGAGAGCGGCCUGUUGAAUUACGAGUUUAUUUACGGAACUUCGAGUGUGUUCGUCCGUCCGUAAGUUCAUUGCUGUAACUGCCUCCCCCUUUGUUGGACUUGGUCUCCUCUGCUGGUUUGUCUUGAGUCACUGCCAGUCUUUAGUAAUGAAGCUCAGACUAACGUUUAGAGUGUAGUCAUCUCAGCACAAUGGGAAAGGGCUGUGUUUAUUUUGGCAUUGGUUGUUAGUGUUAGCAGGUAUAUGAAAAGUCUUCCAACACUCCCCAGAUCCCUGUUUGGAAAGACAGGAGACAAUGGAAGGUGGGGCCCUUUAGAGUUGAGUGUUUCCAUUUCAGCUUUGACCCAAACCGCUCAGUGACUUCAGGCAAGUUAAACAGUGGUUACAGUUGUCUGCACUCUUGACAAGACUAUAUAAUAAUUUUGAAAAAUCACCCACUGCAGAGUAUCCCUGUUACUGUUUCUAAGCUGAGGCUACUUGCUAAUAGGAACUAUUUAAAAUUUUUUUCAUUGUGGCCCUUCAUAUUGUUCAUUGUUCACAUAUGCACACACACACACACACACAAACACACAUAAACACGGGCAAGGAAACUUGAAACUGUGUCAGCUCUUCAGUGCUUCGUUUUGAAUUGAAAUCUCAGUUGCAGAGGAGAGAAAGGGGUAAGUUCCUGACUAGGAAGCAGCAGAUGGACAGGGAAGAGUUGCGAGACAGUCUGACUGAAUGGAAACACGGGUGUCAUAAGCAAAGCACAUCGGUCUCUGUGCAGAGCACAGGCCAGUCCAGGAGUGAGCCCAGGAGUAGGUUCACAUUACUAACUCAUCAAAUUACAUAGCACAAGUUACACGUCACAGACAAGUCACGUUCAUCCAGGGGCACAACAGAGUGAGUUUGCUUUAUGAUACUAAUUCAUCAAGUUUGACAAAGUAAUAACAUGGCUGGUCCCCAAAUAUCUGGUGACAUUCACCGUACAUGCAUUCUUUCCCAAGAGUGAACCACACUAGAAUUCUCAUCAAUGGAGGCAGUCUACUGGAAGACACUUACAAAUCUUACUGCAAAAGACCUUGUAGGUUUCUAUUUUAGCCAUAAGGGGCUUACUAAAAUGUUGAAUGCUCUGAAAUUUUUUUCUAAAGUUAAAAAAAAAAAGAUGUUUUCAUCACUGUAUCACUGUCUUAGUUCGUUUUCUGUAGCUGUGAUAAAACAGCAGUGGCUGAAAGCAACUUGGGGAGGAGAAGGUUUGUCUCGUCUGUCACCUCAGGGUUGUCAUCUGUCAGGAAGGAAGUCCGGGCAGGAAAUCAAACCCCAGACCAUGGAGGGAUGUUGCUUACUGGCUUGUAAUAAGUGGGGCUCUCCCCUCAGUCAUUAAUCAAGAAACUGACGCCACGGGCUUUCUUAGAGUCAAUCUGGUGAAGGCUUUUUCUCGGUUGAAGUCCUUUUUUACAGAUACUUUUUUGACGUGUGUCAAGA
rnacentral:lncRNA from 1 species